GGUGGGGUAGCUCAGUUGGUAGAGCAACGGACUGAAAAUCCGUGUGUCGGCGGUUCAAAUCCGCCCCUCACCA
rnacentral:tRNA from 1 species